rnacentral:rRNA from 1 species
CGCCUUAUACUCCUACGGGAGGCAGCAGUGGGGAAUAUUGCACAAUGGGCGCAAGCCUGAUGCAGCGACGCCGCGUGAGGGAUGACGGCCUUCGGGUUGUAAACCUCUUUCAGUAGGGAAGAAGCGAAAGUGACGGUACCUGCAGAAGAAGCACCGGCUAACUACGUGCCAGCAGCCGCGGUAAUACGUAGGGUGCGAGCGUUAUCCGGAAUUAUUGGGCGUAAAGAGCUCGUAGGCGGUUUGUCGCGUCUGUCGUGAAAGUCCGGGGCUUAACCCCGGAUCUGCGGUGGGUACGGGCAGACUAGAGUGCAGUAGGGGAGACUGGAAUUCCUGGUGUAGCGGUGGAAUGCGCAGAUAUCAGGAGGAACACCGAUGGCGAAGGCAGGUCUCUGGGCUGUAACUGACGCUGAGGAGCGAAAGCAUGGGGAGCGAACAGGAUUAGAUACCCGUGUAGUCCACGUACCA